rnacentral:rRNA from 1 species
AAGUCGUAACNNNNNNNCCGUAGGUGAACCUGCGGAAGGAUCAUUACUGAGUUUUUAACUCUCCAAACCAUGUGAACUUACCACUGUUGCCUCGGUGGUCGGUGCUGGAAACAGUGCUGCCACCGGUGGACUACUAAACUCUUGUUAAUUUUUGUCAAAUCUGAAUCAAAACUAAGAAAUAAGUUAAAACUUUCAACAACGGAUCUCUUGGUUCUGGCAUCGAUGAAGAACGCAGCGAAAUGCGAUAAGUAAUGUGAAUUGCAGAAUUCAGUGAAUCAUCGAAUCUUUGAACGCACAUUGCGCCCAUUAGUAUUCUAGUGGGCAUGCCUGUUCGAGCGUCAUUUCAACCCUUAAGCCUAGCUUAGUGUUGGGAGACUGCCUAAUACGCAGCUCCUCAAAACCAGUGGCGGAGUCUGUUCGUGCUCUGAGCGUAGUAAUUUUUUAUCUCGCUUCUGCAAGCCGGCCAGACGACAGCCAUAAACCGCACCCUCUCGGGGGGCACUUUUUUAAUGGUUGACCUCGGAUCAGGUAGGAAUACCCGCUGAACUUA